UGGCUCCUCCUUCAGUAUUUCUCACUCUCCUACACCAAAAGUAUCCAGUGACAUUAAUACCAACAGUGGUAUAGUGGUGAGCGUGUCUGCCUUUCAAGCAGUUGUAGGUACGGCGCAAGUUACAGACCAACAACCAAAGACGAGGUGGCCGAGAGGUUAAGGCGAUGGACUGCUAAUCCAUUGUGCUCUGCACGCAUGG